rnacentral:tRNA from 1 species
GUAGUUGUGGCCAAGUGGUGAAGACAAUGGACUAGAAAACCAUUGGGGUUUNCCUGUGCAGGNUCAAAUCCUGCCAGAUACN